AACGAACGCUGGCGGCAUGCCUAACACAUGCAAGUCGAACGAAGCCUUCGGGCUUAGUGGCGCACGGGUGCGUAACGCGUGGGAAUCUGCCCUUGGGUUCGGAAUAACAGUUAGAAAUGACUGCUAAUACCGAAUGAUGUCUUCGGACCAAAGAUUUAUCGCCCAAGGAUGAGCCCGCGUCGGAUUAGCUAGUUGGUGAGGUAAAGGCUCACCAAGGCGACGAUCCGUAGCUGGUCUGAGAGGAUGAUCAGCCACACUGGGACUGAGACACGGCCCAGACUCCUACGGGAGGCAGCAGUGGGGAAUAUUGGACAAUGGGCGAAAGCCUGAUCCAGCAAUGCCGCGUGAGUGAUGAAGCCUUAGGGUUGUAAAGCUCUUUACCCGGGAUGAUAAUGACAGUACCGGGAGAAUAAGCCCGGCUAACUCCGUGCCAGCAGCCGCGGUAAU
rnacentral:rRNA from 1 species